rnacentral:rRNA from 1 species
UACAGAGGUCCCGAGCGUUGUUCGGAUUCACUGGGCGUAAAGGGUGCGCAGGUGGGUUGGCAAGUUUGAUGUGAAAGCCCCGGGCUUAACCCGGGAAUGGCAUUGAAUACUGCUGAUCUGGAGGAUCGGAGGGGGGACUGGAAUUCUUGGUGUAGCAGUGAAAUGCGUAGAUAUCAAGAGGAACACCAGUGGCGAAGGCGAGUCCCUGGACGAUACCUGACACUGAGGCACGAAAGCCAAGUGAGCAAACAGG